ACCAUCGGUGGUUCAGUGGUAGAUGCUCGCCUACCACGCGGGCGGCCCGGGUUCGAUUCCCGGCGAUUAGUA
rnacentral:tRNA from 1 species